AUUGAACGCUGGCGGCAUGCCUAACACAUGCAAGUCGCACGCGAAAGAGGGGCAACCCUUGAGUAGAGUGGCGGACGGGUGAGUAACGCGUAGGAAUAUACCUGGUAGUGGGGGACAACCCGGUGAAAACCGGGCUAAUACCGCAUACGAUCCACGGAUGAAAGCAGGGGACCGCAAGGCCUUGCGCUAUCAGAUUAGCCUGCGUCGGAUUAGCUAGUUGGUGAGGUAAUGGCUCACCAAGGCAACGAUCCGUAGCUGGUCUGAGAGAACGACCGACCACACUGGGACUGAGACACGGCCCAGAGUCCUACGGGAGGCAGCAGUGGGGAAUAUUGGAAAAUGGGGGCAACCCUGAUCCAGCAAUGCCGCGUGUGUGAAGAAGGCCUUCGGGUUGUAAAGCACUUUCGGUGGGGACAAACGUGGCGAGGCUAACAUCCUCGUCCUUGAUGGUACCCAAAGAAGAAGCACCGGCUAACUCUGUGCCAGCCGCCGCCGUAA
rnacentral:rRNA from 1 species